ACCUGCCCGGAUAGCUCAGUCGGUAGAGCGUUAGGCUUUUAACCUAACGGUCCGGGGUUCGAGUCCCCGUUCGGGCGUAUUUUUUACCAUAUAUUUUUUAGGUUUUUUUUUUAUAUUUGUUAUGAUUAUACUUUAUUUAAUUAUAACAAGUGUAUUUACUGGAAUGAUAGUUUUAGAAAAUAAAGAGAUUUGAUUAUACUUUUAUUUCAAACAUUUUUGUGUGUGGAAUUAUUUUAAUAAAAUAUAUUAAACUAAAAUCAAUUUUAUAUAUAUUUUUAGUCAUAUCUAGAAAUAUAUUAUUUAAAAAAAAAGUGAAUUUUGAAUAUUGCGCAAAAUAUUUCUAUAAAGUUUAUCAUUUCUAAAGUGUAUAUUUAAAUAUAUAAUAAAUAAAUUUAUAUCAUAAUAAUAUAUUCCAACAGAUUUUAUAAAUACAAUAAUAUAAAAAUAUAUUUUUAAAGAAAUAACGAAGCAACAAACACAAAUCUGGAUUUAUUUACUAGCAAACGGCCUCAUAAAUUAAAUUAGUUCGUUUUGCCGCCACUAGAUGGCAGAAAACCUUGAAUGCCCUUGAUUGCUACGAGUUGAGAAAUCGAAAAAAAAUGGCUGUGCGCUUAUAAAUAUUUAUUAAUGUUUGUGCAUGGUUGAAACUAUGUAAUGGGGUAAUUUUAAUCUUCGCCAACUUUUUCCUUGUUU